rnacentral:lncRNA from 1 species
AAAAUGUAGUUCUGGUGCCAAAAAUCCCUAUGACGGCCUGAAUGUGGCCUGAAUGUGGGAAGCUUGAUUUAAUUGCUGUAGUGUUAUUUCUUUCCUGCAAAAUUCAGAGAGCACACCUUUUAUUAAUGCCCAUGUAACUUCAUGCUCUUACACGUGACUAUGAAACAUAUAAAAUGUAUAUGCUAAACAAUAUAUAAAAUGCUUGUUUUAUUAUUUUUUAUUUCUGGCAGGUCUAGGUUAGGUCUAGGUCUAAAUGACUUCGAUCUGACCAAGGUCUGGGUGAAAUGUAGUUGGUUCGGGUCCGGAUCAAUGAUAGCCCCUUCCCAACUUUCUAAAUCACUCUCUCGAACAUCUUGGAUCUGUAUUCCAUUGAUAUUGUUAGUCCUUGCAUUUGUAAUUGAGUGAAAGAACUGUGUUGAGGUCACCUUUCUUUUACCAUUUUAAGUGUCGAUCUGUCUCCAAUAAAUCUCCUCAAUUCUCAAAUGUUCUUGCACGGUAUUUUUCAACUUCAUCUUUUCAAUUAUAUGCUAUGCAUUAAGGCCCACAUGUUCUUGCUCCAUGUUAUCCAAUAUGAGAACUAAAUUAAAUUUGUUUUCAAUCUUUAGUCUCACAUUAUAUUGAUUGUUUGUUUUCCAAUCCAGAAGUUUUUAUUUCAAGUUCUGAAACUUUUUGGCGAUUAUACACCCAUUCCAACCAUGAAUUAUAGAUUUCCCCAUUUGUACCUUACUAUAUCGACCAUUCCAUUCUCUUUUAACCUUCUGAUUUUCAAAUCUAAAUGGUCUCGGGCCUUUAUUUUCUAUUUCUAUUUGCAACAAAAUAGAUGUGGUCUGGAGGCAAUUUAGGGAGGGCCUUCGCAAACAGUUCUAUAAUAAACCUUCUCGUUGACUACAGAUAAAAAACUUGCCCAAUUUUGAUUUUAUUAAAUAUCUUACUCUAACCAAGUAUAUAAUGCUCCACUAAUUGGGAUAUCCAACAAUUCAUCCCGCAAAAAUAAAAAUUAUUGAAGUUCCAUCAUCUUCGUAUAGUGUUCAGCCAAGUCUUUUUCGUUUUUUUUUUCGGGUGAGUCAGUGGGGAGAGGGCCAUACCUUAGUAGGAAUUGAGCCUAAGACAGCGUUUUAAGUCGGGCUCUUUUCCUUAUGCUCAGCAGAGUCUUCACCCAAUAAACCAAUUGCUUCACUCGCUCCUGCCACUGUAAUUGUACUUGGGCUCGACUGCAUUCAGAGGAUCAAUAAAGAAAGCUUCCUUCAAGUUCAAACCUUCUUGAUGCUGUCAAACUUUAUCUAUCUUCAUGCACUGAACCAGUCAGGGUUGCCAUUCCUCUCCUGCCAUCACCAUGGGCUCUGCCACCCCACUAUUUUGUCCUUGAUGAUGUUUCACCUUGGGGUCAAUAAUAUUUCCAUCUUGCCCUUCUGGAGGAAUGUUCUUAUUCUUAGUAGUUAGGACUAAUACUCUUCUUCUUUGUUGCAAAAGACUAUCUAGGUUUCUCAUUAGACUGCAUUUGAAAAUUAGAUAAGAAGGUAUUUCCGCCGAAGAGAAAAACCAGAGGCACAAAACAGAGUAUAAG